rnacentral:lncRNA from 1 species
UGGGCUUUCUUGUUCAGUUCACCAUAUGUGCUACAGCUAUUUUCUUAACUGUAGACAAAAGUAUAUCCACAAUGAUUAAAGCUUCUAAUUGUGUUAGAUACAGAGUUCAGUUCAUUAAAUUUAAUAAUUUGCUUUGUGGUUUAAGCCUGAAAUAUUAUAAACUAUCCUAUAUGAUUUUGAUCCAGGCAAAGUCCGUCCGGCUAGCUGUUGAUGAGCAGCACUGAGCUUCGUCUGCUAAAGCAACUUUCUACUUGUUACUCUUUAUAUGCUUAUAUAUGAAGUUUUUUUUUUUUGAGAAUUUAUAUAUGAAGUUGUUUCUGUUGUUUUUAACUCUUUUUCAUUAUGUAUUAAAUAAUGUGGAAACUCCCUGUCGACGAGUAUCAAGCUAAAUGCAGCAGCUUAGACAGGCGUUGCUGUUCUAACAUUCAGCGUGAAUUAUUAUAACGGAAAAAUUAUAAAAUUACAAACUCU